rnacentral:rRNA from 1 species
AACGAACGCUGGCGGCAUGCCUAACACAUGCAAGUCGAACGAGACCCCUGACUUCGGUUGGCGGGUCUAGUGGCGCACGGGUGCGUAACGCGUGGGAAUCUGCCCUUGGGUUCGGAAUAACAGUUGGAAACGACUGCUAAUACCGGAUGAUGUCGCCGAAGAGAUUUGGGGACCAAAGAUUUAUCGCCCAGGGAUGAGCCCGCGUAGGAUUAGCUAGUUGGAGAGGUAAAGGCNCACCAAGGCGACGAUCCUUAGCUGGUCUGAGAGGAUGAUCAGCCACACUGGGACUGAGACACGGCCCAGACUCCUACGGGAGGCAGCAGUGGGGAAUAUUGGACAAUGGGGGAAACCCUGAUCCAGCAAUGCCGCGUGAGUGAUGAAGGCCUUAGGGUUGUAAAGCUCUUUUACCC